rnacentral:lncRNA from 1 species
GGUAUUGAGGUCUUUUUACUUAUUAAAUGAAAUAUUUUGGUCAUUCUUCUUCUUGUGGUCUAUUUUUGUGAUCAAAACUUGAAACAAUGUCUAUUUAGGAGAAUUACCCUAUUCUAAAACUAAAUAAUAUUGUAUUUCCUAUUUAAUUAUGCAUUUUUUACUUUUAAAAUAAAUAGUUAUAUUUUUAUUUAUUGAUCAUAUUACGAUUAAUAUUAAUUCAGUUUUAAUUUUGAAAACAAAAAAAUCCAUUAUUUUAAUAAAUUAAUUAUUUUAUAGUUUAUAAAAAUC